UACGGGGGGGGCAAGCGUUGUUCGGAAUUACUGGGCGUAAAGGGCUCGUAGGCGGCCAACUAAGUCAGACGUGAAAUCCCUCGGCUUAACCGGGGAACUGCGUCUGAUACUGGAUGGCUUGAGUUUGGGAGAGGGAUGCGGAAUUCCAGGUGUAGCGGUGAAAUGCGUAGAUAUCGGGAAGAACACCUAUGGCGAAGGCAGCUCUCUGGGCCGUAACUGACGCUGAGGAGCGAAAGCAUGGGGAGCGAACAGG
rnacentral:rRNA from 1 species